rnacentral:rRNA from 1 species
UACAGAGGUCCCGAGCGUUGUUCGGAUUCAUUGGGCGUAAAGGGUGCGUAGGCGGCGGGGCAAGUCUGAUGUGAAAUCCCGGGGCUCAACCCCGGAACUGCAUUGGAUACUGCCUUGCUCGAGUACUGGAGAGGGAACUGGAAUUUACGGUGUAGCAGUGAAAAGCGUAGAGAUCGUAAGGAAGGCCAGUGGCGAAGGCGAGUUCCUGGACAGUUACUGACGCUGAGGCACGAAGGCCAGGGGAGCAAACGGG